GAAAUGCGAUAAUUAAUGUGAAUUGCAGAAUUCAGUGAAUCAUCGAGUCUUUGAACGCACAUUGCGCCCCCUGGUAUUCCGGGGGGCAUGCCUGUCCGAGCGUCAUUGCUGCCCUCAAGCACGGCUUGGGUGUUGGGCUUCCGUCCCUGGCAACGGGGACGGGCCCAAAAGGCAGUGGCGGCACCAUGUCUGGUCCUCGAGCGUGUGGGGCUUUGUCACCCGCUCCCGUAGGUCCAGCUGGCAGCUAGCCUCGCAACCAAUCUUUUUAACCAGGUUGACCUCGGAUCAGGUAGGGAUACCCGCUGAACUUAAGC
rnacentral:misc_RNA from 1 species